GACGAACGCUGGCGGCGUGCUUAACACAUGCAAGUCGAGCGGUAAGGCCCUUUCGGGGGUACGACGAGCGGCGAACGGGUGAGUAACACGUGGGUGACCUGCCCUCAGCUCUGGGAUAAGCCUGGGAAACUGGGUCUAAUACUGGAUAUGACUCCACGGUGCAUGUCGUGGGGUGGAAAGCCUUGUGCGGCUGAGGAUGGGCCCGCGGCCUACCAGCUUGUUGGUGGGGUGAUGGCCUACCAAGGCGACGACGGGUAGCCGGCCUGAGAGGGCGACCGGCCACACUGGGACUGAGACACGGCCCAGACUCCUACGGGAGGCAGCAGGUGGGGAAUCUUGCGCAAUGGGCGAAAGCCUGACGCAGCGACGCCGCGUGAGGGAUGACGGCCU
rnacentral:rRNA from 1 species